rnacentral:tRNA from 1 species
GGGCCAGUGGUGCGAUGGAUAACAACAUCUGACUACGGAUCAGGAGAUUCAGGUUGGACUCCUGGCUGGCUUG